rnacentral:rRNA from 2 species
GCUGGCGGCGUGCCUAAUACAUGCAAGUCGAGCGAAUGGAUUGAGAGCUUGCUCUCAAGAAGUUAGCGGCGGACGGGUGAGUAACACGUGGGUAACCUGCCCAUAAGACUGGGAUAACUCCGGGAAACCGGGGCUAAUACCGGAUAACAUUUUGAACUGCAUGGUUCGAAAUUGAAAGGCGGCUUCGGCUGUCACUUAUGGAUGGACCCGCGUCGCAUUAGCUAGUUGGUGAGGUAACGGCUCACCAAGGCAACGAUGCGUAGCCGACCUGAGAGGGUGAUCGGCCACACUGGGACUGAGACACGGCCCAGACUCCUACGGGAGGCAGCAGUAGGGAAUCUUCCGCAAUGGACGAAAGUCUGACGGAGCAACGCCGCGUGAGUGAUGAAGGCUUUCGGGUCGUAAAACUCUGUUGUUAGGGAAGAACAAGUGCUAGUUGAAUAAGCUGGCACCUUGACGGUACCUAACCAGAAAGCCACGGCUAACUACGUGCCAGCAGCCGCGGUAAUACGUAGGUGGCAAGCGUUAUCCGGAAUUAUUGGGCGUAAAGCGCGCGCAGGUGGUUUCUUAAGUCUGAUGUGAAAGCCCACGGCUCAACCGUGGAGGGUCAUUGGAAACUGGGAGACUUGAGUGCAGAAGAGGAAAGUGGAAUCUCCAUGUGUAGCGGUGAAAUGCGUAGAGAUAUGGAGGAAACACCAGUGGCGAAGGCGACUUUUCUGG